GAUGACGGUGAUGGGAUUGGGUCGGAAACCCUCUCCUCCGGGACACAGCGUCUUGUACUCAGCUGUGAGGAGACACAGGGAUCAUCAGUACAGCUUUCUGCCCGUGAUUCCUGGCCCCUGAGAAAGGUGUAGUUCGUACUGGAGUUGAUGGGCGGGCAGAGUUCGCAGGGGUUGCCCCAGGCUCCGCCCAGCGAGCAGCAGCAGGACGCGCGGGUCACGCCCACCCCGAUCUCAGCGCUGCAGGAGAUGCCCCCGUCGCCGCGGUCCAGCGUGUCCAGGAAGCAGUUCCCCACCCGCGUGUCUGACAGAGAACGGAGGGAAGCCGCGUUACGAUCACAGUGAAGGCCGCGAGCGAAUCAGAGCGAAAGGGCCGGGGCCCUUACCCACACAGCCCACCCCCGACGGGUUCAGCUCGAAGUCCGGCGGGCAGUUGCACAGUUUCCUCCGCUGCGGUCCAGCUCGUAGCCGUAGUCGCAGACGCAGCGAAACAUUCCCGGCAGGUUCUGACACGAUCCGAACACGCAGAUGUUCUGGAAGUUACACUCGUCGAUGUCUGGACGACACACACACAGCGGAUCGAAUGGUAUUGGUGGAGUCCAGUUUGCUACCGUGGGAACACUCGCAAUUGAAGGAACCAGCUAUGUUGCGGCACACGCCAUUGAUGCAGGGGUUGGAGUCGCAUUCGUUGAUGUCUGAACAAAAGAACGAAAGGCACCGGUGCGGAUGUUGGGGAUGAAGCCUCUUCGGCAAGGGUGGGGUUGGGCAGGGCACAUCUCGCAUGGGUGACCCCACGCUCGGCCGAUGGUGGCACAACACAACGUCUUGGUGCACACGAUGCCGCUCAGCUGACCUUGGCACAUCUGGUUGUUGACUUGUGUGAAGCAUGGCCCGGUCCGAUAGUCUGAUUAUGGGAGGAACGAAGAGUAUAAGAGAGGUAUGUGGUGAUGUCUGGACAUUGUGAAAAGAAAGAUUCACUUACGCUGUCCACAGUGAGUUCCAGUGUAGCCCUUCUGACAAGAGCAGGCAUCUUCAUUACAGACCCCUCCAUUCAUGCAUCUGACGCUGCAGGACUGGACUGUACGGACACAGAGAGAGAAGCCAUGCAGGUUUGGAGCGACACAAGGGCGAGUAAAUGAGGAAAUCUGUGGUCAUCAGUUGAAAGAAUCCACCAUUAAAUCUCCCAUAAAGUCGUUGGGUUUCAUUCUGCUCAUUUCCCCAAACAUCAGAGGAGCACUAAACUCAACACUAUUUUGGGAAGCAGCUCUUCCGUCACUUUAAUUUUUGGUGCUUUGUUCUUUUAAACACCUUGUUCUUUUUUUAUUCCUAUAUAUUUCAGUAACGCUAACCUCACCUUCCUCCGAGGCAGCUGUAGACCUCCAGUGAUGUAGCGAGGUAAGAAUGCGCAACUUCAAAGGCAGAAGCGAGGACGAACGCAAGCUGUUUUCAACCUGCAAAACUGUGUCAUCCCGUAAAACAGGGAAAAUAAAAAUGUGCGCCAAUGCCAAACAACAUCACGUGCCUUUGAGAAACUCAAAGGAAUUACUCACUUGAGGAAUUACACACUCCUGCAUUGAUAGUGUGUGGUAAAUCUGAUGUUUAUUGAUCGCUUUAAAUUACCAAGAAAAGGUGAGUAAGAGAUUGAAAAGAUUGAGUUGCAGAACCACUGGGACAUGUAAAAAGUUCCCAGAAUGCAACUCUGCAGAGCUAGAAAUGUCGAAUAAAGGCAGAGGGGAAUUGGCAAGGAGAAGGAAUUCCAAUGGAGCUGCAUGGAGCGUCUGCUUGUGAACUGCACCCCGUGCUAAUGGAUUUCAGAUGUACCGUGUCUUGCACUCUCAAGCGCGCAUAAAACAUUCUGUCGUAUGGGAAUCUAAGAAACGGCAGGAAUUCGUAGAGGAACAUUCGUAGCGAAACCUAAAGAUGUGUAUAUUCUGUGUAUGAGAAACCUAUGACCAAUUUUGGGCUGUCCUGUUAUGACUUCAGAGGACUUACAAUAAUCAUACAAUAAUGUAUGUCGUAUGUAAAUCAUAGAAUAAUGUUUUGCUGUGUUUUUGUCCUUUUGCAACUUGACAACCAUUCUCUUGGCUUUUGUUCUUUUGGAAAAGAUCAGCUCGGAAAUUUACGAAAUAUUUCCGUUUGAAGAUGUAAAUGUUGAUUUUAAGCAUUUGUGGUUGUACUGUUCCUUUAAAUAUACACUAACACCCAUUUAAAUUUAGAUGAUCAAAUGUGAUGUAAUGAUGCCUUAGAAGCCCAUCUGAGCUGAUGCUCAAGACGCACCUUGCAGAAACCAUCGACAGCUGCCUUUUGUUUUGGAAACAUCCAUGGAAGGUCACGAGGUUGCUAAAUAUCCGGUCUUGGUUUGAAAUGCCCUGCACCAGCAGUUUUUCACAGUCUAUUCCCUGUCUAAACAGAUCUCCACCCCAGAGAAAACGCAUCCAUUCUCACCCCACGCCCUCGGAAAACCGCAGAUUCAUUCAGAUAAACGCCAUUCAUGCAGAGAAUGAAAAACCACUUUGACUCCUCACUUAAUUUGGUCAUUAAUCUUUUGCAGAUUGGAUGCGCACUUCCAGGUUUGAAUGAAAUGCUCACAUCUGUGGUUAAUUACGAAAAGUGGGGAACGCUGAUCUCCGUGGCUUCGUCUUGAUAACGCAAAUCCAUGCCCUAGCGCGAGUGAACAGGGGGCCUUGCUAAAACAACGAUUUGCGCUCCAGGGAGCCAACUUGUCUUCGUUUUUGGUUUAACUCGACUGUAAACUUGUCAUGUAAGUUUGUUCCAGCGAUAAUUCAUAAACGUCUGCAAUGUUUUUGCAGCGUUUCUGCCUUGAAACACCUGGUUCCUUUUGUGAAAUGGUUUUGUCAGCAUGUGGUAGAAGCACCUUCAGUGUGCAGUCCCCAAAACCUGGGCAAAAUUGUGUGUAAAAGUGGAUAUCAGGUUUCCUUCAAGGUUUUUGGAGGGGCCAUUCUUGGUUUUCAGUUGUGUAACAGAAGAACCCUGAUAUGUUUUGACUGUAGUUUACCACAGACGGUGACUUUUACCAUGCUCUGCGUCCUGCUGAGAAUCUAAUCCUCACCCAUUUCCUCUCUUCAGUCCAGAGUGAUUGCAUAUCUUGUAUGUCCAUUAACUCUUUGUUGGGAAGCUUUUGUCAAAUGCUUCAGAAUUUGUAAGCACAACUGUGAGUUCACACCUUGUAUUUAAUGAUAUUAGUGGAACAUCAACAAUGUCUACCUCACACUUGCUUGCGAUAUCAAUUCAUUUCUCUUUCUUUUCUUAGAAAGACUGGGCCAGGGAGUCAUUCAGCUCAGCAAUAAUAAACCUGGAUAUGCUCCAGAUCUCAGAUUAUUUGCACAGCGGCUCCCCGUCUCAGUCACUCCAGAACUGGUUGUUUACAUUGAAAAUGACCUAGAAAAUAUGGCCUAGCCAGUGGCCACAAGAUCCCCCUUUGGCUGAGGUGAAAAUGGCGUCACAACUCAUGCAAAGAGCCGUUAUAAGCAAACAUAAAGACUUUCUUUUCCAACACACAAGGCUAAAGCUGUGAGAUAUUGCAAACUAAGUGGGUUAUAUAAUGUCACUGGAGGAAUUUCUUUAAUGGGAGUAGCGUAGUUGGGCUCUGAAAGUAUGCACCUCCUAUAAGAGAGAGUAUGUUUUGCCUAGAUGCUAGUGAGAUAAAAUUUAGACACUUU